GAGGGUGUAGCUCAGUGGUAGAGCGCGUGCUUAGCAUGCACAAGGUCCUGGGUUCAAUCCCCAGUGCCUCCU
rnacentral:tRNA from 1 species